CACCGAGCUUCUGCUACAAGCGAUUUACAUCGAGCUUCUGCUACAAGCAGUCUACUUUAAAUUUCUACUACGAGCGAUCCACGUCGGAUUCCUACUGUAAGCCUCCACCCGAGCUUCCCUUGUGAAUGAAUUUCUUUCGGACCUCUAUUGCAGGUAGGAUUCGGUCGAGCUUCCUCAACAAAUGAUCCCCAUCCAGACUUCUAUGGGAACCAGACUCCGAUCGAACUUCUGUAGCGGGCAGAUUUCGGAUGAACUCCUACAACACACGGGUCCCAACAGUUAAACCCCUCUAGCAGAAAGCCCCUGAUCGAGCUUCUACAGCGGAUGACCUUCGCAUGUAGUACUAGCACCCUAGGCACCCAACGGU
rnacentral:lncRNA from 1 species